rnacentral:tRNA from 1 species
GGCGCCGUAAGCGCCGCGUCAGAUUCCUAAUCUGGGGGUCACAGGUUCGAAUCCUGUCGGGGACG